rnacentral:rRNA from 1 species
AGUCAAGAAAGAAAGGGCACAAGGUGGAUGCCUUGGCACAUGAAGGCGAAGAAGGACGUAAGUGAACGAAAACUAGGGCAAGCUCACAAAAAGCAAAGACCCCUAGGUCUCCGAAUGGGGCAACCCGGCUGUGGAAGACACAGUCAUCACUAAGUGAAUACAUAGCUUAGUGAAGUAAGACCCUGCGAACUGAAACAUCUAAGUAGCAGGAGGAAGAGAAAGAAAAUUCGAUUUUCUAAGUAGCGGCGAGCGAAAGGGAAAGAGCCUAACUCAGUAAGCUUAAAUAAGUCUAGUUAAAUUAGUUGAAAAACUAAACCAAAGAAAGUGAAAGUCUUGUAAACGAAAGGCUUAAGAAAGUUGAGGGAAAGUAUCACCGGGCACGAGAAACCCGGUGUGAAGAUAGGGGGCCCAUCCCCUAAGGCUAAAUACUAACAUGUGACCGAUAGUGAACAAGUACCGUGAGGGAAAGGUGAAAAGAACCCCGAAAGGGGAGUGAAAUAGAACCUGAAACCUAGUGCCUACAAGCAGACAAAGCGUGUAAGAACGUGAUGUCGUACCUUUUGUAGAAUGGGCCAGCGAGUUAUUCUAAAGUGCAAGGUUAAUGAUUUAAGAUCAGUAGCCGUAGCGAAAGCGAGUCUUAAUAGGGCGAAAGUAAAUUGGAAUAGACCCGAAACCGGGUGAUCUAUCCAUGGUCAGAGUGAAGUUGAAGUAAAAUUCAAUGGAGGCUCGAACCGGGUGCGGUUUAAAACGCAUCGGAUGAACUGUGGAUAGGGGCGAAAAACCAAACGAACCCGGAGAUAGCUGGUUCUCCUCGAAAUAGCUUUAGGGCUAGCCUCUGACCUAAGAUUUUAGGAGGUAGAGCACUGAAUGGUCUAGGGCGGAUGACCGUACCGAAACCUAUCAAACUCCGAAUGCCAAAAAAUCAAGUCAGGGAGUCAGACUUAGGGGGAUAAGCUUCUAAGUCGAAAGGGAAACAGCCCAGACCGACAGCUAAGGUCCCAAAAUUUGAAUUAAGUGGAAAAGGAUGUGAAUCUACUAAGACAACCAGGACGUUGGCUUAGAAGCAGCCAUGCAUUUAAAGAAUGCGUAAUAGCUCACUGGUCAAGUGGGUUUGCGCCAAAAAUGAACGGGGCUCAAAUUCAAUACCGAAGCUUCGGAUUAAUAGAGGGAUUAAGUUUACAAAUGAGAUUGGAAAUAUUAACAAAACAAUACAGAAGAGAUUAAAAAAAGAAAUUCAAAAAUUUCAGACGCAAAGACAUAAUGGAUAAGAAAUUAUCAAAAAAAACACAAGUCUAAAGUCAAAGUAGGUAAUAAGCAAAAAAGCUUAACUACAAAAAAGAUCACUGGUUAACGAGUUAAUAAAACGUAAAAAAAGACGUACCAACUCAUAGCUAAACUUAAUACCUCUAUUAGUGGUAGAGGAGCAUUGUAUUAGGGAAGAAGCCAAGGCGAAAGCAAAAGUGGACUUAAUACAAGAGAGAAUGCUGGCAUGAGUAGCGAGAAGGGAUGUGAGAAUCAUCCCCGUCGAAACCCUAAGGUCUCCUGAGCAAGGCUCGUCCCCUCAGGGAAAGUCGGGACCUAAGCUAAGGCCGAAAGGCGUAGGCGAUGGAUAACAGGUUUAUAUUCCUGUACCGCUUGAAGUCGUUAAGAGAGAUGUGAUGACGCAAGAGGAUAAUCGAAGCCAUCUGAUGGAAAUGAUGGUCUAAGGUCGUAGGAAGAAUGGUAGGCAAAUCCGCCAUUCAUAAAUUCUGAAAACUGAUAGGAAUCGAAAACAUAAGUAGAGAAGUCGAUGACUCCAAAUUGCCAAGAAAAGUCACUAUCCAGACAAAAGCGCCCGUACCAAAACCGACACAGGUAGGGAGGUAGAGAAUACCAAGACGCGCGGAAGAACCUUUGUUAAGGAACUCGGCAAAAUGUCCCCGUAACUUCGGGAGAAGGGGAGCCAUAGCAAUAUGGCCACAGAAACCAGGCCCAAGCGACUGUUUACCAAAAACACAAGUUUCUGCAAAAUCGCAAGAUGAAGUAUAGGAGCUGACACCUGCCCGGUGCUGGAAGGUUAAGGGGAAGGCUUAGAGCAAUCGAAGGCUAGAACUUAAGCCCCAGUAAACGGCGGCCGUAACUAUAACGGUCCUAAGGUAGCGAAAUUCCUUGUCGGGUAAGUUCCGACCCGCACGAAAGGUGUAACGAUUUGGGCACUGUCUCAACAAAGGAUCCGGUGAAAUUGUAGUAGUCGUGAAGAUGCGACUUACCCACGCUAGGACGGAAAGACCCCGUGGAGCUUUACUGUAGGCUGAUAUUGGAUUUUGAGAUUAAAUGUACAGGAUAGUUGGGAGACAAAGAAACUUGGAUGUCAAUCUAGGCGGAGUCACUGGUGGGAUACCAACCUUUUAAUAUCAAAGUUCUAACCAUAGCCCUUGAAUCAGGGCAUGGGACAUUGUCAGUUGGGCAGUUUGACUGGGGCGGUCGCCUCCUAAAAAGUAACGGAGGCGUUCAAAGGUUCGCUCAGAAUGGACGGAAACCAUUCGAAGAGUAUAAAGGCAGAAGCGAGCUUAACUGCGAGAGCUACAACUCAAGCAGAGUCGAAAGACGGACUUAGUGAUCCGGUGGUACCGAAUGGAAGGGCCAUCGCUCAACGGAUAAAAGCUACCCCGGGGAUAACAGGCUUAUCUCCCCCAAGAGUCCACAUCGACGGGGAGGUUUGGCACCUCGAUGUCGGCUCGUCUCAUCCUGGGGCUGGAGUAGGUCCCAAGGGUUGGGCUGUUCGCCCAUUAAAGAGGCACGCGAGCUGGGUUCAGAACGUCGUGAGACAGUUCGGUCCCUAUCCAGCGUGGGCGUAAGAAAUUUGAGAGGAGCUGUCCUUAGUACGAGAGGACCGGGAUGGACGCACCAAUGGUGUACGAGUUGUCAGGCCACUGGCAUAGCUCGGUAGCUACGUGCGGAAUUGAUAAGUACUGAAAGCAUCUAAGUACGAAGCAACCCUCAAGAUAAGAUUUCUCAAAGUAGGUAAAGAAAAUACCUUAGAUAGGUCCAAGGUGUAAGUGCAGUAAUGUAUUAAGCUAAUGGAUACUAAACUUUAAAACUUGA